UACGUAGGGGCAAGCGUUAUCCGGAUUUACUGGGUGUAAAGGGAGCGCAGACGGAACUGCAAGUCUGAUGUGAAAGCCCGGGGCUCAACCGCGGGACUGCAUUGGAAACUGUAGAUCUGGAGUGCCGGAGGGGCAAGCGGAAUUCCUGGUGUAGCGGUGAAAUGCGUAGAUAUCAGGAGGAACACCGGCGGCGAAGGCGGCUUGCUGGACGGCAACUGACGUUGAGGCUCGAAAGCGUGGGGAGCAAACAGGAUUAGAUACCCCCGGGUAGU
rnacentral:rRNA from 1 species